GGGUUGUGAGGUUAAGCGACUAAGCGUACACGGUGGAUGCCCUGGCAGUCAGAGGCGAUGAAGGACGUGCUAAUCUGCGAUAAGCGUCGGUAAGGUGAUAUGAACCGUUAUAACCGGCGAUUUCCGAAUGGGGAAACCCAGUGUGAUUCGUCACACUAUCGUUAACUGAAUACAUAGGUUAACGAAGCGAACCGGGGGAACUGAAACAUCUAAGUACCCCGAGGAAAA
rnacentral:rRNA from 1 species